UACGAAGGGGGCUAGCGUUGUCCGGAAUUAUUGGGCGUAAAGAGCUCGUAGGCGGUUUGUUGCGUCGGCUGUGAAAUCCCGAGGCUCAACCUCGGGUCUGCAGUCGAUACGAGCAAACUAGAGUGUUGCAGGGGAGACUGGAAUUCCUGGUGUAGCGGUGAAAUGCGCAGAUAUCAGGAGGAACACCGGUGGCGAAGGCGGGUCUCUGGGCAACAACUGACGCUGGAGGAGCGAAAGCCGUGGGGAGCGAACAGG
rnacentral:rRNA from 1 species